GACGAACGCUGGCGGCGUGGAUUAGGCAUGCAAGUCGAACGGUAUCAUCCUUUCGGGGGUGAGAGAGUGGCGAACUGGUGAGUAACACGUAGGUUAUCUACCCUCAAGACGGGGACAACCCAGGGAAACUUGGGCUAAUACCGGAUGUGAGCAACUUUUAGUUGUUUGAAAGGUGGCGUAAGCUGUCGCUUGGGGAUGAGCCUGCGUCCUAUUAGUUAGUUGGUGAGGUAACGGCUCACCUAGGCAAUGAUAGGUAGGCGGCCUUAACGGGUGGUCGCCCGCACUGGGAUUGAGAUACGGCCCAGACUCCUACGGGAGGCAGCAGUCGAGAAUAGUCUACAAUGGUCGGAAGACUGAUAGUGCGACGCCGCGUGAACGAUGAAUCCCUUCGGGGUGUAAAGUUCUUUUAUAUGUGAGCAGUGCUUCUUAUAUUAACAGUAUGGGGAGAGAGAUAUUAGCAUAUGAAUAAGCAACGGCUAACUCCGUGCCAGCAGCCGCGGU
rnacentral:rRNA from 1 species